rnacentral:tmRNA from 1 species
GGGGGCGACCUAGAUUCGACGGAGAUACGGUUUCGUAGGAUGCGUGCCGAGGACCAUCAACCUCGACAAAAGAUGGAACAACCCUAACUGCAGAUACGCAGUUCGCUCUCGCAGCCUAAGAACCUGUGAGCGUCCAUUUCGGCCAGCCUGCGGGCCGGGGUCUGGAUGUCAUUUCAGCAGGCUGGUUGCUGACGGCUACCUCGAACGUCAGCGACGAGACUUUUCGGGGCGGGUGCCCGACGGUUUUUCCGUCUCUUCACGCCGGGCGCGACACUUCAGAGGCGGAUACGCAUCGUAGAUUCCUGCGAGGAUGUACUUUCGGACGCGGGUGCGAAUCCCGCCGCCUCCAUAC